UGGGGAAUUUUGGGCAAUGGGCGAAAGCCUGACCCAGCAACGCCGCGUGAAGGAUGAAAUCCCUCUGGGAUGUAAACUUCGAAAGUCGGGAAAGAAAUCGCCAUGGUUAAUAACUGUGGUGGAUGACGGUACCCGACGUAAGCCCCGGCUAACUACGUGCCAGCAGCCGCGGUAAUACGUAGGGGGCAAGCGUUGUUCGGAAUUACUGGGCGUAAAGGGCGCGUAGGCGGCAUGGCAAGUCGGGAGUGAAAGCCCGGGGCUCAACCCCGGAACUGCUUUCGAAACUGCCAAGCUAGAGUACGGAAGGGGCAACUGGAAUUCCCAGUGUAGCGGUGAAAUGCGUAGAUAUUGGGAAGAACACCGGAGGCGAAGGCGGGUUGCUGGGCCGAUACUGACGCUGAGGCGCGAAAGCCAGGGGAGCAAACGGG
rnacentral:rRNA from 1 species